rnacentral:lncRNA from 1 species
AUAUCCUCCUCCUCCUCCUCCUCCUCCUCCUCCUCCUCCUCCUCCUCCUCCUCCUCCUCUCCUUCCUAACUACAACUACUACCACCAUCUUGACCUGCCCAUGUCAGUGUUAGGAAGGCCACGACUACUACACACUACGAGACGACCUGGCCAUGUCACUGUGGCGACGGGUGGACCAGUAUGUAUGGGAGUGUCACAUUCUACUAUCACCCAACUACUACUACUACUACUACUACUACUACUACUACUACUACUACUGGACGCAUCUUCUACCACUUACCAGGCCAGAGGUGUGGUGGUGGUGGUGGUGGUUGUAGUAGUAGUGGUUAUUGUCAGCCACUGUGGUACCCGGAGGAGAUACAGAAGGUCAUAACAAACUUAUACUACGCCAUUGCCACAAAUAUAUACCGAUUAAUAACGCCACAGUUCAUUAAAACGAGGCGCCUUGGCCGUCCCGGGACCUUCCAUAACCGUAGGCUGUGCGAGGGUUGUUAUAUCGGGGUCUGCAAGUGAGAGGGAGAGAUGGAGAGAAAAGUGAGA